UACGUAGGGUGCAAGCGUUGUCCGGAAUUAUUGGGCGUAAAGAGCUCGUAGGCGGUCUGUUGCGUCGGCUGUGAAAACCCGGGGCUCAACCCCGGGCCUGCAGCCGAUACGGGCAGACUAGAGUUCGGCAGGGGAGACUGGAAUUCCUGGUGUAGCGGUGAAAUGCGUAGAGAUCGGGAAGAACACCAGUGGCGAAAGCGGCGACCUGGGUAGAUACUGACGCUGAGGUGCGAAAGCGUGGGGAGCAAACAGG
rnacentral:rRNA from 1 species